rnacentral:rRNA from 1 species
UACGUAGGGGGCUAGCGUUGUCCGGAAUCAUUGGGCGUAAAGCGCGUGUAGGCGGUCCGGUAAGUCCGCUGUGAAAGUCGAGGGCUCAACCCUCGAAUGCCGGUGGAUACUGUCGGGCUUGAGUACGGGAGAGGCGAGUGGAAUUCCUGGUGUAGCGGUGAAAUGCGCAGAUAUCAGGAGGAACACCGGUGGCGAAGGCGGGUCUCUGGGCAGUAACUGACGCUGAGGAGCGAAAGCGUGGGGGAGCGAACAGG